AACGAACGCUGGCGGCAGGCUUAACACAUGCAAGUCGAGGGGCAGCACAAGGAGCAAUCUGAGGUGGCGACCGGUGCACGGGUGAGUAACACGUAUGCAACCUGCCUGUAAGCGGGGGAUAACCCGUUGAAAGACGGACUAAUACCGCAUAAUACUGGAGAUCUGCAUGGAUAUUCAGUUAAACAUUUAUGGCUUACAGAUGGGCAUGCGCAUGAUUAGAUAGUUGGAGAGGUAACGGCUCCCCAAGUCAACGAUCAUUAGGGGUUCUGAGAGGAAGGUCCCCCACACUGGUACUGAGACACGGACCAGACUCCUACGGGAGGCAGCAGUGGGGAAUAUUGCACAAUGGGCGAAAGCCUGAUGCAGCAACGCCGCGUGAGCGAUG
rnacentral:rRNA from 1 species